rnacentral:lncRNA from 1 species
UUCUCUUGCCAUGUUUACAGAAGAUUCAGGUCUAGUGUCGCUGACAGACUCGUUCUCUGGAAAUGUAUCAUUCCAGGACAAAUGAAGCUCCUCUAAGUGUUCUUUGUUUCUUAGUCCUGCCUCAUAAGCCUCCUCCCAGGUUUUAACACUGCCAAGUUGAGACACUCCAAGUUGAACAAGCUCGUUCAUGGAUUUGAGUUGUGU